AGAGUUUGAUCAUGGCUCAGAGCGAACGCUGGCGGCAGGCCUAACACAUGCAAGUCGAGCGCCCCGCAAGGGGAGCGGCAGACGGGAGAGUAACACGUGGGAACGUGCCCUUCAGUUCGGAACAACCCAGGGAAACUUGGGCUGAUACCGGAUACGUCCGUAAGGAGAAAGAUUUAUCGCUGAAGGAUCGGCCCGCGUCUGAUUAGCUAGUUGGUGGGGUAAUGGCCCACCAAGGCGACGAUCAGUAGCUGGUCUGAGAGGAUGAUCAGCCUCACUGGGACUGAGACACGGCCCAGACUCCUACGGGAGGCAGCAGUGGGGAAUAUUGGACAAUGGGCGCAAGCCUGAUCCAGCCAUGCCGCGUGGAUGAUGACGGCCUUAGGGUUGUAAAGUCCUUUCGGCGGGGAAGAUAAUGACGGUACCCGCAGAAGAAGCCCCGGCUAACUUCGUGCCAGCAGCCGCGGUAAUACGAAGGGGGCUAGCGUUGCUCGGAACCACUGGGCGUAAAGCGCACGUAGGCGGCUUUUUAAGUCAGGGGUGAAAUCCUGGAGCUCAACUCCAGAACUGCCUUUGAUACUGAGAAGCUUGAGUCCGGGAGAGGUGAGUGGAACUGCGAGUGUAGAGGUGAAAUUCGUAGAUAUUCGCAAGAACACCAGUGGCGAAGGCGGCUCACUGGCCCGGUACUGACGCUGAGGUGCGAAAGCGUGGGGAGCAAACAGGAUUAGAUACCCCCGUAGUCC
rnacentral:rRNA from 1 species